rnacentral:rRNA from 1 species
UACGGAGGGUGCAAGCGUUAUCCGGAUUCACUGGGUUUAAAGGGUGCGUAGGAGGGCAGGUAAGUCAGUGGUGAAAUCUCCAAGCUUAACUUGGAAACUGCCGUUGAUACUAUCUGUCUUGAAUAUUGUGGAGGUGAGCGGAAUAUGUCAUGUAGCGGUGAAAUGCUUAGAUAUCGUUUGGAACGCCGAUGGUGAAAACAGGUCGCUGGGGUUGUGCUGACGCUGAGACACGAAAGCCAGGGGAGCGAACGGG